AGAGUUUGAUCCUGGCUCAGAACGUACGCUGGCGGCACGCCUAACACAUGCAAGUCGAACGAAGUAGCAAUACUUAGUGGCAGACGGGUGAGUAACAUGUGGGUAUCUGCCCUUUGGCCUGGAAUAACACGAGGAAACUUGUGCUAAUACCGGAUAAGUCUUUACGGAGAAAGCUUUAUGCACCAUUGGAUGAGCCCGCACUUGAUUAGUUUGUUGGUGGGGUAAUGGCCUACCAAGACUGUGAUCAAUAGCUGAUUUGAGAGGAUGAUCAGCCACAUUGGGACUGAGACACGGCCCAAACUCCUACGGGAGGCAGCAGUGGGGAAUCUUGCACAAUGGAGGAAACUCUGAUGCAGCGAUGCCGCGUGAGUGAAGAAGGCCCUUGGGUUGUAAAGCUCUUUCGUCGGGGAAGAAAAUGACUGUACCCGAAUAAGAAGGUCCGGCUAACUUCGUGCCAGCAGCCGCGGUAAUACGAAGGGACCUAGCGUAGUUCGGAAUUACUGGGCUUAAAGAGUUCGUAGGUGGUUGAAAAAGUUAGUGGUGAAAUCCCAGAGCUUAACUCUGGAACUGCCAUUAAAACUUUUCAGCUAGAGUAUGAUAGAGGAAAGCAGAAUUUCUAGUGUAGAGGUGAAAUUCGUAGAUAUUAGAAAGAAUACCAAUUGCGAAGGCAGCUUUCUGGAUCAUUACUGACACUGAGGAACGAAAGCAUGGGUAGCGAAGAGGAUUAGAUACCCUCGUAGUCCAUGCCGUAAACGAUGUGUGUUAGACGUUGGAAAUUUAUUUUCAGUGUCGCAGCGAAAGCGAUAAACACACCGCCUGGGGAGUACGACCGCAAGGUUAAAACUCAAAUGAAUUGACGGGGACCCGCACAAGUAGUGGAGCAUGUGGUUUAAUUCGAAGAUACGCGCAGAACCUUACCAACACUUGACAUGUUCGUCGCGACUCUAAGAGAUUAGAGUUUUCGGUUCGGCCGGACGAAACACAGGUGCUGCAUGGCUGUCGUCAGCUCGUGUCGUGAGAUGUUGGGUUAAGUCCCGCAACGAGCGCAACCCUCACUUUUAGUUGCCAUCAUUAAGUUGGGCACUCUGAAAGAACUGCCAGUGAUAAGCUGGAGGAAGGUGGGGAUGACGUCAAGUCCUCAUGGCCCUUACGUGUUGGGCUACACACGUGCUACAAUGGUAUCUACAACAGGAAGCAAGACUGCGAGGUCAAGCAAAUCCUUAAAAGAUACCUCAGUUCGGAUUGCACUCUGCAACUCGAGUGCAUGAAGCUGGAAUUACUAGUAAUCGUGGAUCAGCGUGCCACGGUGAAUGCGUUCCCGGGUCUUGUACACACCGCCCGU
rnacentral:rRNA from 1 species